rnacentral:tRNA from 1 species
GCGGAUGUGGUGGAAUCGGCAGACACGCUAGCUUGAGGGGCUAGUGGUAGCAAUAUCGUGCAAGUUCAAGUCUUGUCAUCCGCACCA